rnacentral:misc_RNA from 1 species
UUGGCCACGAACAACCUUGCUGCUCUC